AAAAUAUGCUGGAUCAACCAUGCACUUAUAUUUUAUUAAUGUUUUUGUUCUUAGCUCUUGCAGAAUUAUGUCUAUGUUAGACGUUGAAUCUUAAGUAUUUUAAUUUGAUGUUAUUAUGAAAAAGAGGAUUUUGGUUCAAGAUUGGACCCAAAUUAAAUGUACUCUUUAUAUUAUUUUAUUUUCUCACCUUUAUUCCCAAUUCUUGAGCUGCAAUGUGCAGUUCCGUUUCUGAAAAUCCUAUUGCAAAAGUAUCAAUUCAUCUUUGCCAAGCAAAUAUUCAGGUUGGAAGUUUCUGUCAAACACUGGCAGCAUGGAGAUUUAGUCAUGUUCUUACAAAAUAAAGACUACUAGGUUAUAGUUAUGGUUUAGGUAUUAGCUCUACAGCAGCACUGACAUAUUGAUGCCCCAACUUCAGAAUUACCUUCAAGUAGAGGUGAAGAGCUGCAGACAAAGUGCUUGCUUGAACUCUAUGGACUAAAGGUACAGCUGAUGUAUACAAUUGCGUUGAUUCUUAUUCAUCCUACUGCUUCCUUGCAUAUGUAGUUCAGAUUUUAGCAGCAAAACUAUGAUCAUAUGAAUUGUAGAAAGGAAAGUGUUUGGUUACUGUACUGUGAUAAUGAGAUUAUUUUUCUGAGAAAAUUUCAAAGUGCAACCAAUUCUGCCAAAUUAAUGAGUCAGUUAUUACAGAGGUACAGUAUCCUAUUGGGCUUUUUGAAAUUUUAGAAAAGCAUGCUUAGAUGAUGGCAAUUGGGAGUUGUAUUGUCUAUUUUCAUUGGAUAUUGGGGGAUGAUAUGCAUUACUUCCUUCAGCAUAUUCUUUUUUCUUGCAGCUAGCAGAGUUGCAGAGCAAGGUUAGGUCUGAUGUGAGUUCUGAAUACUGGCUUCGUAUGACCUGUGCAUUUCCUGAAAAGCAACUUUUUGAUUGGGGAAUGAUGCGACUGCGCCGUCCUCUAUAUGGUGUUGGAGAUGCUUUUGCCACAGAAGCUGAUGAUCACUUCAGGAAGAAGCGGGAUGCUGAGGUCAUAUAUUCUACCCAUGACUUGUUUGAACUUUUUUUUGACUCAGUAAGAAUAUUAACGAGGAGGAUUCUUAGUUUUUACUUAGUAUCUGUAAAGAGUAGGGUGGCAAAACGAAUAAAUGAAUUAAAUCGUAAACAAAUUGGUCAAACUCUGCUGAUUCGAAUUCGAUUAGUUUGUUAAACAAAUUGAAAUAUCAAGAUUCGGAUUUGAUUCGCUUAUAAAUAUUCGGUUCGAUUCAUUUAAUUCAUUUAGUAGAGUUAAUAAAUGAAUCAAAUCUGGAUUCAUUUACUAUUCGUUUAUCCUAUAACGAAUCCAUAAUAAAUCGAAUCGAAUAUGAAUUUAACCAUGCACUUAUAUUUUAUUAAUGUUUUUGUUCUUAGCUCUUGCAGAAUUAUGUCUAUGUUAGACGUUGAAUCUUAAGUAUUUUAAUUUGAUGUUAUUAUGAAAAAGAGGAUUUUGGUUCAAGAUUGGACCCAAAUUAAAUGUACUCUUUAUAUUAUUUUAUUUUCUCACCUUUAUUCCCAAUUCUUGAGCUGCAAUGUGCAGUUCCGUUUCUGAAAAUCCUAUUGCAAAAGUAUCAAUUCAUC
rnacentral:lncRNA from 1 species